GAGUUAGCCGGUGCUUUCUUGGGAGGUACCGUCAGAUCUUCUUCCCUCCCGACAGUGCUUUACAACCCGAGGGCCUUCAUCACACACGCGGCGUAGCUGCGUCAGGGUUUCCCCCAUUGCGCAAUAUUCCCCA
rnacentral:rRNA from 1 species